UGGGGAAUAUUGGACAAUGGGCGCAAGCCUGAUCCAGCAAUGCCGCGUGGGUGAAGAAGGUUUUCGGAUUGUAAAGCCCUUUUGGCAGGGACGAUGAUGACGGUACCUGCAGAAUAAGCCCCGGCUAACUUCGUGCCAGCAGCCGCGGUAAUACGAAGGGGGCUAGCGUUGCUCGGAAUGACUGGGCGUAAAGGGCGCGUAGGCGGCCUGUACAGUCAGAUGUGAAAUUCCUGGGCUCAACCUGGGGACUGCAUUUGAUACGUGCGGGCUUGAGUGGAGAAGAGGGUCGUGGAAUUUCCAGUGUAGAGGUGAAAUUCGUAGAUAUUGGAAAGAACACCGGUGGCGAAGGCGGCGACCUGGUCUUUAACUGACGCUGAGGCGCGAAAGCGUGGGGAGCAAAC
rnacentral:rRNA from 1 species